GCAAACUCCACCAAGUGUAGAAAAAACUCAGCCUGAUGUCCUGUUUGACAAACUGACCUGCGGGUCACAACCUGAGUUUAUUGAUCCGUGGGGCCUUGUCUGGGUGCCGGGCAUGUUUUCUGGACUUUGGUUUCAGCUGCAUUCCUCACUUCUCAAAGAGGGGGUGUGGAUUUCUGCUCGGAGUAACCACUGGGAAGGAAGUAAUGUUCAUUAAGUGUGCAGGCAGUGCAGGACGAAGCAUGCUCAGUGCAAAAAGCUUCGCUCCCCUGCCUGUCAAGCCUGAGGUUUGAACUCGUUCCAGAAUGCCGGAUUUACUUUUCAGGAAGAAACAGCACCUGGCUGGGCUGCGCUUUUCCCUUCCCUCCUCCUCCUCCUCGGAGUGCAAAUAAUGUUCUUUUGAUGCUUUCCUGCCAGUGGGAAUCUCGCCCUGGAGAAGGAGACAAAACUUUGCUACCUGUGAAACGAAGACUGCUUAGGUAGCACUGGAAAUGAAAGCAAUUCUAUUUCCCACACAGGCUCCACAAAUGUAAGUAGAAAUACAAUUUAUUUUGCCAUAGGUGGAAGCGUGAGUCUAACGAUGAAAGCACAAGACACGUGUUAACUUUGUGUGGGGCUUCUAAAAAAGCAAACAAACAAGGAGGUCAGGGGAAAGUUACUUAUUUGACAUUUUCCUGCUGGCUUUGCAGAAAAUCAGGGUUCAUUUGGAUUUAGAUCCAGCUGCAUUUGGGCCAAAAUUGUCUCUGGAGAAGUCUGGGAGGGACAGGAGAGGAGAAAAGCUUUUAGCUCUGUCUAUUGAGAAACCUCCUGGGCAGCAAUUUCAGAAACUCCUGCGGGACUGAGAAGUUUAACUCCUAUUUUUAGAAGUAUUGUGGGAGCUUAAAUCAGGCUUCAAAGCUUUUAGGAACCUGGAAAGGCAGGUGGGAACCCCGUGGGAUCUGUGGAGUGUCUGAACAGGUUCUGAGCCUCACUCUGAGAGUUAAUACUUAACCCACCACAGGGACAUUAGCAAAACCCACUUGACUCCUGCCUCAAUCUUCCCAUAUCCAAAUCCUUGUAAAUCUUCUGUCUCCUGAUUUCAGAGGAACUGGCAUUCAGAAAUUCUGAGUUUGAGGCUCUCAAUGGUUUUGAAUGUAUUAUCAAUUGC
rnacentral:lncRNA from 1 species